CCCUGCCCCUUAGAGCAUGUUUCAACCUGUCCUUGCUCUACACUUCACCCCAUCUGUGUCAUGUUUAUGGUCUGUUCUGGUUUAGAUUUUCCUGUGUUUCUGUUCUACCUUCUUUGACCUAGUUUGCCUUAGUCCCCCUGAUUAGUUCAUUCUGUUCACCUGUAUUGAUUAAUCAUCUCGUUUGCUCCUUUGUUUCCCUGUCUUUAUAAGCCUUCAGUUUCUGUCUGUUCUUUGUCCUGGAUUAAUGUUGAUUUAAUGGUACACAUGUGUUGAUACUAUUUAGCGUGCCUGUUCUUUUUGUUAAAGUGGAAUUAAAGUGUAUUUUGGUUACUCCUUCUUUGUGCGCUAUCUAAAACCACAUACCGUGACAAUCUGCAAUUUACCAUUCUUUUUGUAGGUCACUUGAUGUCCUUCUACGGUUGUUGAGUGACAUUUAAAUGAAGUGGCGGUCAUCCCGGUCAAAGGAAAGUUAUUUUCUUUUUUUUCUUUCUCAGUUUUUCAUUUCCUCUGCCAGUCUAUAUCUUUGUCCCCAAUGUCUGCAGCAUGAUGUUCUUUUUAUGAACAGCUGUCUUUGAAAUGGACGGAAGCAACCUGACGCUCACUGUUUCCCUCUGCCAGUAAAGCCAGAACUGAACCCUUCUUUUCCUCACUCAAAACAUUUAAACUCUUUUGGCAUGGGCAGUAAUUAUUUGUUUCCAAUUACUUUUGAGUUACUACUAGCACUGUUUUUGCCAUCCAUCUGGUCCUAUUGCUAGAGGAAAAUGAUGACCUUGUUUUCCUCAUCAGUAAGAUAAAAUUUGGUUGAGAUGAUCACCUAUAGUAGUUCAAACUGAAAAACCCUGGAAUGGAAUUGCUGCUAUACAUGUAGAGAUUAUUAUUUAAGAAAAAAAUAGGAGAAAAAUCGGUCUUUUAAUUUUUUUUUUUUUUUUUUUUUUUUUGUGGUCCCAUAGCUGUAUGUAUGUAUUUCUUUUCUUUCCUUUUUAAUUUCUUCUUCUUUUUUAAUAAUACAACAACAACUACUACUACUAGUAGUAGCAUUGUUAUAACCUUAGCUUUAUCAUAAUAAUUAAUCAACCUUUUUAAUUGUUUUUAUUAUUAUUAUUAUUAUUUUGCUAUUCUAAUAAUAAUUAUUUUUAUUAUUUAUUAAUUUUUUAUUGAUAUUUAUUGAUAUUUGGAUACAGUGACUCCUUUGGGCAAUCUUUUCCAGAAAUCCAACCUGGAAUUUCUUGAAUUGCAGAAUUCUGACCAAACGUGGUUUAUUUGAAUUGGAGUGAAGGUUCAUUUCACAGGCACAGUAACUAGAGUGUAAGAUUUUACUGUUUAAUAGAUCACAUUGUUUCCAGUACUGCACUCACCUUUUUCUGCAGCGUUCCAUCUCUGUUUGUCCAAAGCAUAUGAGAGAACAUUGAUCUGCUCUUUCUUCUAGACCUCUGAUAAACCCCAGCACCCCUCUCUGUAGAGAAGUGAACUGUUGACAUGAUCAGCAGAUGGACAUGACUGUUUGGUUAAUGAUUACAGGAGAUGUUAUAACAUUGGCUUCACUUACCUGUGAGCAAAGUGCCAGUGACACAAACAACAGCACAGAUUCCUGACAGGAGUGGGUGUGUGAAAGAGGAGGGACGCAGAAACAGCCGAUCUGGCAGCGUGUAAUGAGGCACACCUGAAGUGAAUGGAGCCUAAUCACCGCCGCUGUUAAAAGCUGAGCGCGCCUCUCCUCAAGAGAACGGUACGCGAGCCGUUGGACCUGCUGUUUUGAAUGGGACUGCACCCUUGACGUGGUCGAUGGGCCUGGAGGCUGGGCUGUUAUUCUCCCCCCAAGCGCCGUGGGCCAGGAAAAAUGAGUCACUCUGACAAAGCCGCCACCCAUUGCGCCCUGGACCAGAGAGGGGAGCACGUGCAGCCGCCGGACUCGGGCCUCUACCUGGACCCCAACUUUCUAAACAUUGACCUUCCUUCACAAUUCCCUGGCUCAACAAGGACACCAGAUCCCCUGUUUAUUUUGGACACUAUUUCCCCUCAGAACCCUUUAAUCCCAUUUUGGAUAUUUUGUGUGAUUCUGUUAAAUAAAAUCCACUGUGUCUGACGUUUGCUCUUCUAUCUCUCUCUCUGGCAUUUGAACUGUUGACGCGCCGGCAUGGCAUUAAGGUACCGGUCGGAGUGGAUUGCUCCGUUGAGGAAUGUAGCCUCGCAGUUGGAGAGGUUGUUGGAGAUAACUGUAAUAAGUUGGCAUCGAGAAUGAAUAGUGCAAUUGUACUGUUUUUGGAGACGACUGAAAAGGUUAACCAAGUCAUUGAACUAGGAAUUGUGAUCAAAGACCUACACAUUGGAGUUUUUCCGCUUGUCAAUCUGGCCAAAAAAGUAGUGAUUUCAAAUGUUCCCCCAUUCAUCAGCGAUGAGGUUAUAGAACGCAAAUUAGCAAGACAUCGGCAAAUUUUUUCAACAUUAAAAAAGUUUUCACUUUAAAUCUGAAUGGGGCAAGGGAUAUUAAGAAAAGGAGUCAAUUUUUCCAGUUAAUGAAAUUGAAAGGAAUAGAUAUAGCUUUUGCUCAUAGCAAUGCUUUCAAUUAAGUAAAUUGGAAAAGAGAAUGGGAGGGUUUGGUUAUCCGGAGUCAUAAGAGCAGUACAAGUGCUGAUAUAGGAGUCUUCUUUGCAAAUAGAUUUUUGCCAAUCUUAUAUGAGGUGGAGGAAAUUGUAGAAGGAAGACUGUUAAAGGUUACUGCUAAAUUUGAUGUUGCAAAUUUUGUUUUAAUAAAUGUGUAUGCUCCAGUUA